GACGAACGCUGGCGGCGUGCUUAACACAUGCAAGUCGAACGGAAAGGCCCUGCUUUUGUGGGGUGCUCGAGUGGCGAACGGGUGAGUAACACGUGAGUAACCUGCCCUUGACUUUGGGAUAACUUCAGGAAACUGGGGCUAAUACCGGAUAGGAGCUCCUGCUGCAUGGUGGGGGUUGGAAAGUUUCGGCGGUUGGGGAUGGACUCGCGGCUUAUCAGCUUGUUGGUGGGGUAGUGGCUUACCAAGGCUUUGACGGGUAGGCGGCAUGAGCGGGUGACCGGCCACAUUGGGACUGAGAUACGGCCCAGACUCCUACGGGAGGCAGCAGUCGGGAAUAUUGCACAGUGGGCGGAAGCCUGAUGCAGCAACGCCGCGUGCGGGAUGACGGCCUUCGGGUUGUAAACCGCUUUCGCCUGUGACGAAGCGUGAGUGACGGUAAUGGGUAAAGAAGCACCGGCUAACUACGUG
rnacentral:rRNA from 1 species